GAUGAACGCUGGCGGCGUGCUUAACACAUGCAAGUCGAACGAUGAAGCCCAGCUUGCUGGGUGGAUUAGUGGCGAACGGGUGAGUAACACGUGAGUAACCUGCCCUUAACUCUGGGAUAAGCCUGGGAAACUGGGUCUAAUACCGGAUAGGAGCGUCCACCGCAUGGUGGGUGUUGGAAAGAUUUAUCGGUUUUGGAUGGACUCGCGGCCUAUCAGCGUGUUGGUGGGGUAAUGGCUCACCAAGGCGACGACGGGUAGCCGGCCUGAGAGGGUGACCGGCCACACUGGGACUGAGACACGGCCCAGACUCCUACGGGAGGCAGCAGUGGGGAAUAUUGCACAAUGGGCGCAAGCCUGAUGCAGCGACGCCGCGUGAGGGAUGACGGCCUUCGGGUUGUAAACCUCUUUCAGUAGGGAAGAAGCGAAAGUGACGGUACCUGCAGAAGAAGCACCGGCUAACUACGUG
rnacentral:rRNA from 1 species